GGUAUUCAUCUGGUGGAGCUGUUUCUUAUUUCCUGUCUGACAGACUCCCUUUCCUGCUGCUUCCAGCCCAACAUGCUCUUCUCAUGAAUGGGCAGGUGUAGGAUCAGCGGGAUCAGGACACAGAGCUGCUUUUGUUAGGUCUGCGCCUGAUUUCUCCAGGUGAUGAGCAGUUGGUACUAAAAGAGAACGUCAGGAAGUGGUGAGAGGCCUGGUAGCCAGAUUUGCAGGGCUCUAGUGCCUGUCCCUGGGAGCAGACCAUGAGAUUGACACUCAAGCCAGCCUUUGGGAAACAAGAGGGAACUAGUCAUGAGCACCCAAAGAAGUUCUGGCAUGACCAGGCUUUCAGAAAUGUUAGCAGA